rnacentral:rRNA from 1 species
AUGAUCGAGCGGCGGACGGGUGAGUAACACGUAGGCAACCUACCCUUGAGAUUGGGAUAACUACCGGAAACGGUAGCUAAUACCGGAUACGACUUUCCUGCAUAAGCAGUUAAGUUAAAAGGCGGAUUUAUCUGCCGCUCAUGGAUGGGCCUGCGGUGCAUUAGCUAGUUGGUGAGAUAGUGGCUCACCAAGGCGACGAUGCAUAGCCGACCUGAGAGGGUGAUCGGCCACACUGGGACUGAGACACGGCCCAGACUCCUACGGGAGGCAGCAGUAGGGAAUCUUCCGCAAUGGACGCAAGUCUGACGGAGCAACGCCGCGUGAGUGAUGAAGGGUUUCGGCUCGUAAAACUCUGUUGUUAAGGAAGAACACUUGAGGUAGUAACUGGCCUUGAGAUGACGGUACUUAACCAGAAAGCCACGGCUAACUACGUGCCAGCAGCCGCGGUAAUACGUAGGUGGCAAGCGUUAUCCGGAAUUAUUGGGCGUAAAGCGCGCGUAGGCGGUAAAAUAAGUCUGAUGUGAAAGCCCC